rnacentral:tRNA from 1 species
GAGGGUAUAACUCAGUGGUAGAGUGUGUGCUUAGCAUGCACAAGAUCCUGGGUUCAAUCUCCAGUAACCUCC